rnacentral:rRNA from 1 species
CCUACGGGAGGCUGCAGUGGGGAAUAUUGGGCAAUGGGCGCAAGCCUCACCCAGCAACGCCGCGUGAAGGAAGAAGGCUUUCGGGUUGUAAACUUCUUUUCUGAGGGACGAAGAAAGUGACGGUACCUCAGGAAUAAGCCACGGCUAACUACGUGCCAGCAGCCGCGGUAAUACGUAGGUGGCAAGCGUUAUCCGGAUUUAUUGGGUGUAAAGGGCGUGUACGCGGGAAAGCAAGUCAGGUGUGAAAACUCAGGGCUCAACCCUGAGCCUGCAUUUGAAACUGUUUUUCUUGAGUGCUGGAGAGGCAAUCGGAAUGCGGGGUGUAGCGGUGAAAUGCGUAGAUAUACGGAGGAACACCAGUGGCGAAGGCGGAUUGCUGGACAGUAACUGACGCUGAGGCGCGAAAGCGUGGGGAGCAAACAGGAUUAGAUACCCGAGUAGUC